GAUCCUGGCUCAGGAUGAACGCUAGCUACAGGCUUAACACAUGCAAGGUCGAGGGGCAGCAUGAACUUAGCUUGCUAAGUUUGAUGGCGACCGGCGCACGGGUGAGUAACACGUAUCCAACCUUCCGUUUACUCAGGGAUAGCCUUUCGAAAGAAAGAUUAAUACCUGAUAGUAUGGUGAGAUUGCAUGAUAACACCAUUAAAGAUUUAUUGGUAAACGAUGGGGAUGCGUUCCAUUAGGUAGUAGGCGGGGUAACGGCCCACCUAGCCUGCGAUGGAUAGGGGUUCUGAGAGGAAGGUCCCCCACAUUGGAACUGAGACACGGUCCAAACUCCUACGGGAGGCAGCAGUGAGGAAUAUUGGUCAAUGGACGAGAGUCUGAACCAGCCAAGUAGCGUGAAGGAUGACUGCCCUAUGGGUUGUAAACUUCUUUUAUACGGGAAUAAAGUGAGGCACGUGUGCCUUUUUGUAUGUACCGUAUGAAUAAGGAUCGGCUAACUCCGUG
rnacentral:rRNA from 1 species